CAGUCGCCGCGGUAAUACGUAGGGUGCGAGCGUUAAUUGGAAUUACUGGGCGUAAAGCGUGCGCAGGCGGUUGUACAAGACAGAUGUGAAAUCCCCGGGCUUAACCUGGGAAUGGCAUUUGUGACUGUACGGCUAGAGUGUGUCAGAGGGGGGUAGAAUUCCACGUGUAGCAGUGAAAUGCGUAGAUAUGUGGAGGAAUACCGAUGGCGAAGGCAGCCCCCUGGGAUAACACUGACGCUCAUGCACGAAAGCGUGGGGAGCAAACAGGAUUAGAUACCCCCGUAGUCCCUGUCUCUUAUAC
rnacentral:rRNA from 1 species